rnacentral:snoRNA from 1 species
ACCUCCUCAUCAUACUGAAUUCCGAAACUCGGGCCUGGCUCACUGGCCUCUCCGAUCACACCAUUGACAGCUGGGCCGAGCUCAAGGCUCAGUU